UACGUAGGGUGCGAGCGUUAAUCGGAAUUACUGGGCGUAAAGCGCACGUAGGCGGCUUUGUAAGUUAGAGGUGAAAGCCCGGAGCUCAACUCCGGAAUAGCCUUUAAGACUGCAUCGCUAGAACGUUGGAGAGGUAAGUGGAAUUCCGAGUGUAGAGGUGAAAUUCGUAGAUAUUCGGAAGAACACCAGUGGCGAAGGCGACUUACUGGACAACUGUUGACGCUGAGGUGCGAAAGCGUGGGGAGCAAACAGG
rnacentral:rRNA from 1 species